rnacentral:rRNA from 1 species
UACGUAGGGGGCAAGCGUUGUCCGGAAUCAUUGGGCGUAAAGCGCGUGUAGGCGGCCAGGUAAGUCCGUUCUGAAAGCCCGGGGCUCAACCCCGGGAGGCGGAUGGAUACUGCUUGGCUCGAGUCCGGAAGAGGCGAGUGGAAUUCCCGGUGUAGCGGUGAAAUGCGCAGAUAUCGGGAGGAACACCAAUAGCGAAGGCAGCUCGCUGGGACGGUACUGACGCUGAGGCGCGAAAGCGUGGGUAGCAAACGGG